UGUGUGUAACGAGCUCAUGCCCCUGCAGACCCACACAGAAACACUUCAACACUUGGUUCAGGGAGGCAAGCAGAGACAUGCAGUGUGGGUGGGAAGAGGUCUGAGUAGGUGGGAGGAGUGUCUUCCUUUCUCAUUCAUAUGACGAAAUACCCUGACAGAGACAACUUAAGGGAGAAAGGGGCUUGUUCUGGCUUGUAGUCCCAGAGGACUAUAGUCCAUCAUAGCAUGAUAAGCAUGGCAGUAGGCUGGCUAGUCAGACUGCAGCCAUACUCAGGAAGCAGAGAUAGAUGAAUGACAGAUGACAGGUGCUCAGCUCAUUUUCUCCUUUUCACAAAUAUAAUCUGGGAUCCCAGGCUAGGGAAUGGUGGUGCCCACUGUGGGCAGGUCUUUCCAUCUCAACCUAAUCAAGGUAACCUUAAUAGGCAUGGCUGGAAGCCUGACCUCCAGGUGGCCUUGUGUUGUCAAGUUGACCAUUUAGAUUGACAAGACACUGAUGUAUUUGAUCAGACCUGACACUAUGUCAGGCAGAGAGCAUGAAGGCCAGUGCUGUUACUUAUUGGGUUUGUAGCAUUGGGCAAGUUACUCAACAUCUCUAGACCUGUUUGUUCUUCUGUAAAAUGGGGAGUAUUUAUGGGACAUGAGUAACAUUUUUGUUACAAGUAUCGAGUUAAGUAUUCAUGUGUCCACAGUAACCCUUGUAAAAGUAACUUUUAUUCAAACUGUCUUCUCUUAGCUACUCAUCGAAUUGUUCUGCUUGGAAAAACUGCCUCUGAAUUCCAAUAACUAAACUACACUGACUUUGUAACUGAAUGGAACUCAAUGGAACUUCCCAAACUCAACUGAACUCCAGUCAGAGGGAUUAAAGAUGAAGAUGCCUUUAGGGUCUGAGUCACAGACCAUGGCUGUCCUGCUCAUCAGAGAAUUCGAGGGAAGAGACUUGCUGAUAGCAAUGGAUCCAGAGAGGGUUCAGCUCUCUGUCCCUCGGCAUGGGCUUUGCGUGGCUUUUGCUAAUGGGACCAUUUGUCUAAACUGUCUCCUCACCUUCCAUGGGUCAAAGCGGAGUUGUUAAUGCUUAGGAAUCAGCAUCCUGAAAGAAGAAGGCCAGCAUUUCACGUCAGCCGGAUUUUGUGUUUGAAUACAUCCACAAUGGUUGAUCUGAAGUUUACCAAUUUUCAUGCCAACUGCCUUUUUAAAAAAAAAUAAAUCCUUAUUACUUUGAACAUCGGUUCUGGUGAGGUAACCAGACCCACAGCACUUGGCCCCUGCUCCUAGCCUUGCUACUGCUCUGAUGUCUGUGCUCAAUGCACAAGGAAGUAAUGAUUAGUUGGGGGAGGGGGUAUUGAUUUAUUCUUCUGUCAGAGUCUUAGCUCAGAAUGUGUUAUUUCAAAAUAGUCACCGCACGUGAGGGAUUCGACACAGAGGGAAGCUGACACCAGAGGUAGAAACCACUAGGAACGAAGAAGACUGAGCCCUGGAGAAAGAUCUGACACAUGUAGUUUUUUUUUCGUUGUUGUUGUUGUUUUUGUUUUUAAUUUUAAUAGCCUAGUGAGUGUCACAGAGCCUACUGAUUUGUCUGUUUUAUCCAUAAUCUUCUGACUUAGCUAUUCUCUGAGCACGGCUGAAGUGAGGAACAGAGGGUAUCUAAGGUGAGUUUCUAGCCAAGGAAAAUAAUAGCUAAUGCUAAGGUGUGGGGUGACUGUCUCUGAAUCCCCUCCCUCCUCUGGGUUUGCCACGGGAUCCAUCUUUCAUCUCUGGCUUUACGUUUGGGACGAGCUGAGUCGCUCUUUCUGUGUUGAUUACACUCGGUGCCCGAGGCUAGGUCUACCGUAUUCCUCCAGUGCAUAACACGAGGCUAUCACAGAGCAAGUGUCUAACAAACGGAGCUCAGCGCACUGCACCCGGUCUAACUCACAGCUCUCUUGUCUCACAGGCAAUUUUAGGGACCCCAAGAGAGAGGUUUAUCUCCAUAAAGCAAGCCCUUCCGGGGUCCCACAAAGUCUGUAUGAAAGCCCACACAUGCCCUCUGCCUUGUGGUCCUUCAGUCUGCGUGCUAAGUUUUCCUAUUCAUCCAAGCCAGGGGAAAUCUGACCGAUAAUGGGAGAAGCACUCGCUACAAGAGGUUUAAACAAGCUGCCGAGAGCACAGAGCACAGAGCACUGCAAAAGCCCACGUUCAGCUCCGGGCAGGGCCCAGUGUGCGGGGAGUCUGAAGAGACUGGCGGCAUCUCUCUCCAAGUGACGCGUGUGAACAUUAAAGACAACAAUGACCUUCAAAACAGUUUGCAUCCCAUCUUUAACCUUCAAAUUGGCAGUCGGUUGGUCUCACACCCGUGCCCUCCUUUUUGCCCUUCUUUCUGCCUCGCCAAGUCACCAACUUCUCUUUUUUUCCAGGUUUUUUUUUUUUUUUUUUUUUUGUGGUCCGUGACUUGGUGCCGAGCCAGACAUAUCUGUGAAUUUGCAUGUUGUGGGGUCACCCCUAGGCUGGCUUCCAAGGCCCAGCAUGGUAAAGAACUUAUUUGGGGUAGAAAGCACGUUGAUCAGAAAGUGUUAUUUUUACAGUCCUUGUUUUUAUUAUUGUAACCAAAUUCCAGAAACAUACUUGGACUGAGGCUUCAGCCUGACGCACAAAGGCCUUACAGAGUUCUUCAGGCAUAGUAUAAUUUUAGCUCAGGCCAGCGGCCGCCGUUAACAAAGCAAGGAACCUUUCCACUGUGUAUUCUCUUCCCUCUCUGAGCAGAAAACAAACUUUGGGUUGUCCUGGGGUUUGUGGGUCGAUUCUUUUGCCCGGAGAACUGUAAGGCUUUGCUGCAUGAGGGAGCUAAGCUCAUGGCUAAAACAGGCAGCCCUAAACUGACAGCAUCAGGCACCAGUUGUUCCCACAGUCGCUCCCAAAUCAGGCCCAGACAGGGCUGGAAAACACAUUCUUUCUUCUUUACCUCAGUUAAUGUGUGUGUGCGCUAUUCGUGUUGACACUGGGACACAGGGGAGAAAGAACUUGAGGCUUAGAUAGCCGUCCAAGGAUUACCUCACAGUUACUGUGCCCGAUGUGCUUGUUCAUAUAUUAAAGUCUCUAAUAUCAGUACAAUCAUCAAAUUUGAUCAUACUCCAUCAUUUGAUUAGUAGCGAUUUUUUUUUAAUUUCUGUAGUAACACACAAAAUUAACGGGUGUGAGACAACCAAUGGUGCCUCAGAUUUAACACUAGGAUAUCCGAUAUUGGUGCUUGAUCUGUGCCUGCAGUUGGAAAGCCCAAAUAUACCUGUCAUAGUCUAUGAAGUUCCUAAGUUGUGGUGUUCCUAUCUGAAAGUCCACUGGUGUCACCUCUAGUUUUACUGUCCAUGUGUCUAUGCUCUCUGUGUCACACAAUUAACAUUCACUGAGCUCUCCCUGACCCUGGGCCUUAGCCUAAGUACUUUCCCUUCUCUCCUCAUUGUCCUAUAGAGAUGCUGUUAUGACCCUGUUACCCACGUCUGGUGACAUCCAGAGGGUCAGUGAGUCUGCACCAGUCCUCCUGCAUUUUUAACCAUCUGUCUUCCUGAGUCAGAUCCUGUUGCUGAGUUUUGAGCUAAUUUAAAACUCUAUCUCUCACACCCGCCAGGUGACUGACUGUGUGGAAGAAGGCUCCAGGUGACUGACUGUGUGGAAGAAGGCUCCAGGAGACAGCAUCGGACAGGAGAGAUGUGUGGCAAAGUAAGAAACUGGGAUCUUAACUGCUGAUUCAGAUUUUAUUCUCAGGAACAUCUUUCUUCUUCAAGUGAAAGUUUUUCCUUUCAAUCUGUAUGAGCCUUUUUUUUUUUUUUUUUUUCCUGGCUAAGCUGAUUCGGGGCUUCUUAGAGUAUUUUCCAGUGAUCAGUUUGCUUAAGUUUUGAGACAGAGUCUCACACUCUGGUUAAGGCUGACUUGGAGCUCACUAUUCAGGUUAGGCUAGCCUCGAACUCACAAAAGCCCUCCUGCUAGCAUACUCAGUACUUAGAUUACAGUUGUGAGGAGCUGCUGCACCUGACUCCAUUUUAAUCACUAAACAAAUGUGUGGGUUUUAUUUUAUUUUUGAGAUAGGACAUCACAUAGUCCAGGCUAGCCCGGAACCUCUCACCUCUACCUCCCAAGUGCUGGGAUUAUAAAACAAAGAUUUUACCCACUUUGCCUGACUCUGUCUUAUGUAACUCAAACUGGCCUGGAACUCCUGAUAUUCCUCCCCCCACAUUAUUUCAGGUGCUUAGGUUAAAAGGGCCAAGGCACGACCUGGCCCUACAGUCAGCUCUAAUCUCUGAGUCCUCGGUUACUAAGGGAAGCAGUCUAAAGAGCCGUAUUACCCAAGGUUAUAUUAUGCAGGGACCCAUGAUGUACUUAGUCAGACUCAAAUGUUAGUUUUUUUCAAGUAGUCACAGAUUAGGACUGAAGUAUAUAGUAAUGAAAUUAGUUUUCAGACACACUCAGACAGGUUAACAAACAGGCCACUACACUGUUCCUAAUCCGAAAAAGCCUCUUGUGCCCCAGCUGAGGUCCCCUGAGAAUCCUUCAGUUUUACUCUUUGCUGUUUUGUGGUAGAACCCAGUGAGCAGCAGCACAGAGGCUGCAAUGAAGACAGCGGGUGCAUAGCCCCAGUGAGGAGGAGG
rnacentral:sRNA from 1 species